AGUUCUGAGAUGACUUGUACAAGCCACCAGGACCAGCAUGUUGGACAUGUUCUGACCCUCCUGGAAGACAUUAAGGAGACUCAGAGGGUCCACAGUCGAAUGCUACAGUCUCUCCUCAAACAACGUGAUGGACCUGUUGCUGCAGGAUUACCCGAGGAUGCUUUCCCCCUCCAGAUGUGGCAGCAAACAUUGGCAGACCCUGUCUUCCUAAAGGAAGUGGUUGUUGUUGCAGAGACCAGAGGGAGCGCUGUUGAUGAAGCCACCACAAGAAUGAUGGCCUUCAUGGAGACGAUGGAUUGGUCAAUGAGCUCUGGUUUGCUGCAUUACUUUUUCUUUUAAAAUGUAUAACACUGACUUGUUAAUUUUCACUAUUUGUUGUGUACUGUGGACAUUUUUGUUAACAUGUAAACAAAAAAAAUGUGCCAUAUAACAAAAAAGCAUAGCGUUUCAAAAUUGUGUAUGAAUCAGUCUUAAUAAAAAAAUAACUGA